AACUCAGGGAACUGAAACAUCUAAGUACCUGAAGGAAGAGAAAGAAAUUCGAUUCCGUAAGUAGCGGCGAGCGAACGCGGAUUAGCCCAAACCAAUAAAGUUUUCUUUAUUGGGGUUGCGGACAUAUCAUAACGAAGAGGUAUCGUAAUUGAAGAGGUUUGGAAAGACCCACCACAGAAGGUAAUAGUCCUGUAUGUUAAACGAGAAGACUUUAGGUAUGAUCCAGAGUACCACGGGACACGUGAAACCCUGUGGGAAGCAGGAGGGACCACCCUCCAAGGCUAAAUACUACCUAGUGACCGAUAGCGUAUAGUACCGUGAGGGAAAGGUGAAAAGAACCCCGGGAGGGGAGUGAAAUAGAACCUGAAACCCUGCACUUACAAGCUGUGGAAGCACAUUUCUUGUGUGACCACGUACUUUUUGUAGAACGGGCCAACGAGUUACGUUAAGUAGCAAGGUUAAGCACUUAAGGUGCGGAGCCGUAGCGAAAGCGAGUUUUAACUGAGCGUUCAGUUACUUGACGUAGACCCGAAACCGGGCGACCUACCCAUGAGCAGGAUGAAGCGAAAGUAAAAUUUCGUGGAGGUCCGAACCCACGAGCG
rnacentral:rRNA from 1 species